CAAAGGAAUUGACGGGGAGCACCACAACGGGUGGAGCUUGCGGUUUAAUUGGAUUCAACGCCGGAAAUCUUACCGGGACCGACAGCAAUAUGAAGGCCAGGCUGAAGACUUUGCCGGAUUAGCUGAGAGGUGGUGCAUGGCCGUCGUCAGUUCGUACUGUGAAGCAUCCUGUUAAGUCAGGCAACGAGCGAGACCCACGCCCACAGUUGCCAGCGUACUCUCUGGAGUGACGGGUACACUGUGGGGACCGCCGCUGCUAAAGCGGAGGAAGGAAUGGGCAACGGUAGGUCAGUAUGCCCCGAAUAUCCCGGGCUACACGCGAGCUACAAUGGUCGGCACAAUGGGUACCGACCCCGAGAGGGGUAGGCAAUCUCCUAAAGCCGAUCGUAGUUCGGAUUGAGGGCUGAAACUCGCCCUCAUGAAGCUGGAAUCCGUAGUAAUCGCGUUUCAACAGAACGCGGUGAAUACGUCUCUGCUCCUU
rnacentral:rRNA from 1 species